rnacentral:rRNA from 1 species
AAUAGACUACCCUGGUAGUCCACGCCGUAAACGAUGGAUACUAGCUGUUUGAGGCGCAAGUUUGAGUGGCUAAGCGAAAGUGAUAAGUAUCCCACCUGGGGAGUACGGGCGCAAGCCUGAAACUCAAAGGAAUUGACGGGGGGCCCGCACAAGCGGUGGAGCAUGUGGUUUAAUUCGAUGAUACGCGAGGAACCUUACCAGGGCUUAAAUGUAGAUUGACGUAUUUGGAAACAGAUAUUUCUUCGGACAAUUUACAAGGUGCUGCAUGGUUGUCGUCAGCUCGUACCGUGAGGUGUCAGGUUAAGUCCUAUAACGAGCGCAACCCCUGUUGUUAGUUGCCAGCGAGUAAUGUCGGGAACUCUAGCAAGACUGCCAGUGUAAACUGUGAGGAAGGUGGGGAUGACGUCAAAUCAUCACGGCCCUUACGUCCUGGGCCACACACGUGCUACAAUGGCCGGUACAGAGAGCAGCCACUUAGCGAUAAGGAGCGAAUCUAUAAAGCCGGUCACAGUUCGGAUCGGAGUCUGCAACC